UCCCGCUUAGCUCAGCUGGUAGAGCGCGUCACUAGUACUAGCUCGUUCGCAAGGACGCCUGGGAAGUCAUGACGAGGUCAGUCGUUCAAGUCGGCUAGUGGGAA